GAUGAACGCUGGCGGCGUGCUUAACACAUGCAAGUCGAACGAUGAAGCCCAGCUUGCUGGGUGGAUUAGUGGCGAACGGGUGAGUAACACGUGAGCAACCUGCCCCUGACUCUGGGAUAAGCGCUGGAAACGGCGUCUAAUACUGGAUAUGUCCCAUCACCGCAUGGUGUGUGGGUGGAAAGAUUUUUCGGUUGGGGAUGGGCUCGCGGCCUAUCAGCUUGUUGGUGAGGUAAUGGCUCACCAAGGCGUCGACGGGUAGCCGGCCUGAGAGGGUGACCGGCCACACUGGGACUGAGACACGGCCCAGACUCCUACGGGAGGCAGCAGUGGGGAAUAUUGCACAAUGGGCGCAAGCCUGAUGCAGCAACGCCGCGUGAGGGAUGACGGCCUUCGGGUUGUAAACCUCUUUUAGCAGGGAAGAAGCGAGAGUGACGGUA
rnacentral:rRNA from 1 species